rnacentral:rRNA from 1 species
CCUACGGGGGGCAGCAGUGGGGAAUAUUGCACAAUGGGGGAAACCCUGAUGCAGCAACGCCGCGUGAGCGAUGAAGGCCUUCGGGUCGUAAAGCUCUGUCCUAAGGGAAGAAUACUGACGGUACCUUAGGAGGAAGCCCCGGCUAACUACGUGCCAGCAGCCGCGGUAACACGUAGGUGGCGAGCGUUGUCCGGAAUUACUGGGUGUAAAGGGCGUGUAGGCGGGGUAGCAAGUCAGAUGUGAAAUUCCAGGGCUCAACCCUGGAGCUGCAUCUGAAACUGCUGCUCUUGAGUGUCGGAGAGGAAAGUGGAAUUCCUAGUGUAGCGGUGAAAUGCGUAGAGAUUAGGAGGAACACCAGUGGCGAAGGCGGCUUUCUGGACGAUAACUGACGCUGAGGCGCGAAAGCGUGGGGAGCGAACAGGAUUAGAUACCCCUGUAGUC